ACGCGAAAGGGGCUUCGGCCCUGAGUAGAGUGGCAAACGGGUGAGUAACACAUGGGUGACCUACCUCUAAGUGGGGGAUAACGACCGGAAACGGUCGCUAAUACCGCAUAAUGCAGCGGCACCACAUGGUGACAGUUGUUAAAGCGGGGGAUCGUAAGACCUCGCGCCUAGAGAUGAGCCUGCGGCGGAUUAGCUAGUUGGCAGGGUAACGGCCUACCAAGGCGACGAUCCGUAGCCGGCCUGAGAGGGCGGACGGCCACACUGGCACUGACAUACGGGCCAGACUCCUACGGGAGGCAGCAGUCGGGAAUUUUGGGCAAUGGGCGAAAGCCUGACCCAGCAACGCCGCGUGAAGGAUGAAGCUUUUCGGAGUGUAAACUUCAUAAGAAUGGGACGAAUAAGCGUGGGCUAACACCCCAUGUGAUGACGGUACCAUUUGUAAGCUCCGGCUAACUCCGUGCCAGCAGCCGCGGUAAUACGGGGGGAGCAAGCGUUG
rnacentral:rRNA from 1 species